AGAGUUUGAUCCUGGCUCAGGACGAACGCUGGCGGCGUGCUUAACACAUGCAAGUCGAACGGAGAGAAUUCUAAGUUUACUUAGAAGGAUCUUAGUGGCGGACGGGUGAGUAACGCGUGGGUAACCUACCCAACAAACCGGGACAACCCUUGGAAACGAGGGCUAAUACCGGAUACGCUUAUAGGUUGGCAUCAACGUAUAAGGAAAGGCGGCCUCUGAAUAUGCUGUCGAUGAUGGAUGGACCCGCGUCUGAUUAGCUAGUUGGUGGGGUAAAGGCCUACCAAGGCGACGAUCAGUAGCCGGCCUGAGAGGGUGAACGGCCACACUGGGACUGAGACACGGCCCAGACUCCUACGGGAGGCAGCAGUGGGGAAUCUUCCGCAAUGGACGAAAGUCUGACGGAGCAACGCCGCGUGUAUGAUGAAGGUCUUCGGAUUGUAAAGUACUGUUUUUAGGGAAGAACGGUUUCUUCAGGAAUAUGGAGGAGACAUGACGGUACCUAAGGAGGAAGCCCCGGCUAACUACGUGCCAGCAGCCGCGGUAAUACGUAGGGGGCGAGCGUUGUCCGGAAUUAUUGGGCGUAAAGGGCGCGUAGGCGGGUAUUUAAGUCCGGUGUGAAAGAUCAGGGCUCAACCCUGAGAGUGCAUCGGAAACUGGGUAUCUUGAGGACAGGAGAGGAAAGUGGAAUUCCACGUGUAGCGGUGAAAUGCGUAGAUAUGUGGAGGAACACCAGUGGCGAAGGCGACUUUCUGGACUGUAACUGACGCUGAGGCGCGAAAGCGUGGGGAGCAAACAGGAUUAGAUACCCUGGUAGUCCACGCCGUAAACGAUGAGUGCUAGGUGUAGGGGGUAUCGACCCCUCCUGUGCCGGAGUUAACACA
rnacentral:rRNA from 1 species